rnacentral:rRNA from 1 species
GAAUGGCGUAAUGAUGGCCAGGCUGUCUCCACCCGAGACUCAGUGAAAUUGAACUCGCUGUGAAGAUGCAGUGUACCCGCGGCAAGACGGAAAGACCCCGUGAACCUUUACUAUAGCUUGACACUGAACAUUGAGCCUUGAUGUGUAGGAUAGGUGGGAGGCUUUGAAGCGUGGACGCCAGUCUGCGUGGAGCCAACCUUGAAAUACCACCCUUUAAUGUUUGAUGUUCUAACGUAGGCCCCUGACCGGGGUUGCGGACAGUGUCUGGUGGGUAGUUUGACUGGGGCGGUCUCCUCCCAAAGCGUAACGGAGGAGCACGAAGGUUAG